UUGUCACAGCCAUCCCGUUCUCGUUCUCAUUAGCUCUUAAUUGUGUUCACCGGUGUCGCCCCGCACGUGCGGCGAUGCAUUAUUUUGCGAUGAUCCCAAACGCGUUUUAAAAUGAUCCCGCGGUUGCUUGUUUUUUUUGUGCGCUUUUGACUGAACAAUCCGGACAACGUGGCCACCAACGGGGGAGCGAGGACGCCGGCAUUGUUUGUCAAAUUCAGGGCUGGCGCUGGAAGCUGUAGGUGGAGGGAAGACCAGGAGUGGUGCAGCUCUGCAGAUGCUGAAGGUGUGCCAAAGGGUCCCGUGUGUUCCUGAAGGGACUGAGGCGACGCAGUCGGAGGUCCCUGCGGUGGCGGUCAGCGGGAGGUGUCGGGACCAACCAGCUCCUCGUCCAGGAAAGGGGAAUUCAUCAGACCGAUUAAAGGUUCAAUAAAGUAAAUCUUAUCAUCU